GUCUGGAAAAUUAUUCGUGGGGACGUGACCACUGACAUUGCCAUAGACAACGAGAAAUAUAGAGGAUCAGUCAUAAGUGAUCCAUCUCUCCAUAUAACUGAGGUGUCUGAUGGAGACGAGGGCAUGUACCUGUGUACAGCAGUCAAUGGAGUGGGGACUGGCAGUAGUCCUUUAUGUCACCUCAAGGUCACCACCAAUCCUGACCUGGUACUAACUGCUAAAGAGAGGAUUAGAGCCAAGAAGAUCAAGUUGGAAUCACCUGACGACAAGAUGAUAAAGUGUUUAGCUGAUGUGGUAAAGGGUGACCAAUCAAA